CUUUUCCGUCUCUUUCUUUUUAUGUCACCAGGGGAGGACUGGGUGGCCAACCCAGAGCCCCGAGAGAUGCUAGGCUCUUUCUGUCCCGCCCUUCCUCUGACUGUGUCUUGAUUUCCUAUUCUGAGAGGCUGUUGCUCAGCGGUUUCCGUGGCAACAGUAAAGCGUGGGAAUUACAGAUAAAUUAAAACUGUGGAACCCCUUUCCUCGGCUGCCGCCAAGGUGCUCGGUCCUUCCGAGGAAGCUAAGGCCGCGUUGGGGUGAGACCCUCACUUCAUCCGGCGAGUAGCACCGCGUCCGGCAGCCCCAGCCCCACACUCGCCCGCGCCAUGGCCUCCGUCUCCCAGCUUGCCUGCGUCUACUCUGCCCUCAUUCUGCAGGACUAUGAGGUGACCUUCACGGAGGAUAAGAUCAAUGCCCUUAUUAAAGCAGCCAGUGUAAAUAUUGAAACUUUUUGGCCUGGCUUGUUUGCAAAGGUCCUGGCCAACGUCAACAUUGGGAGCCACAUCUGCAAUGUAGGGGGUGGGGAAAAAAACGUGACUGCGCGGCGUGAGCUCGCUGAGACUUUCUGGACGGGGGACAGGCCGUGGGGUUUCUCAGAUAACUGGGCCCCUGGGCUCAGGAGGCCUGCACCCUCUGCUCUGGGUUAAGAUUCAUUCUUAUAGAAGAGCAUCAGAGGAAGAUAAAAAAGAAUCCUGUGUCAGGCCCCUGAGCCCAAGCUAAGCCAUCAUAACCCUGUGACCUGCACAUAUACAUCCAGAUGGCCUGAAGCAACUGAAGAACCAUAAACGUGAAAUAGCCAGUUCCUGCCUUAACUGAUGAUAUUCCACCAUUGUGAUUUGUUCCUGCUCCACCCUAACUGAUCAAUUGAUCUUGUGACAUUCCUUCUCCUGGACAAUGAGUCUCAGGAGCUCCUCACCAAGCACCUUGUUACCCCCACCCCUGCCCACAAGAGAAAACCCACGUUAACUGUAAUUUUUCCACUACCUACCCAAAUCCUAUAAAACUGCCCCACCCCAUCUCCUUUUGCUGACUCCAGGUGAUUAAAAAACUAUUGCUCACACAAA